rnacentral:rRNA from 1 species
UAGGGAAUCUUCGGCAAUGGACGAAAGUCUGACCGAGCAACGCCGCGUGAGUGAAGAAGGUUUUCGGAUCGUAAAACUCUGUUGUUAGAGAAGAACAAGGACGUUAGUAACUGAACGUCCCCUGACGGUAUCUAACCAGAAAGCCACGGCUAACUACGUGCCAGCAGCCGCGGUAAUACGUAGGUGGCAAGCGUUGUCCGGAUUUAUUGGGCGUAAAGCGAGCGCAGGCGGUUUCUUAAGUCUGAUGUGAAAGCCCCCGGCUCAACCGGAGAGGGUCAUUGGAAACUGGGAGACUUGAGUGCAGAAGAGGAGAGUGGAAUUCCGUGUGUGGCGGUGAAAUGCGUAGAUAUAUGGAGGAACACCAGUGGCGAAGGCGGCUCUCUGGUAUGUAACUGACGCUGAGGCUCGAAAGCGUGGGGAGCAAACAGG